CUGCCCUCAAGGGGAGAACAACUCAUCGAAAGGUGAGCUAAAUCUCCGUAACAUAUUCUGGUGGCAUCAUUGGAAUAUCAAGCUUUCUUGGGGAUGAGCCUGCGUCUGAUUAGCUAGUUGGUAGUGUAACGGACUACCAAGGCUACGAUCAGUAGCUGGUCUGAGAGGAUGAUCAGCCACAUUGGGACUGAGACACGGCCCAG
rnacentral:rRNA from 1 species